GACGAACGCUGGCGGCGUGCCUAAUACAUGCAAGUCGAACGAAGCUGUUUUAACUGGUGCUUGCACCGACUUAAACAACUGAGUGGCGAACGGGUGAGUAACACGUGGGUAACCUGCCCCAAAGCGGGGGAUAACAUUUGGAAACAGAUGCUAAUACCGCAUAACCACAGAAACCACAUGGUUUCGGUGUCCAAGAUGGUUUCGGCUAUCACUUUGGGAUGGACCCGCGGCGUAUUAUCUAGUUGGUAAGGUAAUGGCUUACCAAGGCAAGGAUACGUAGCCGAACUGAGAGGUUGAUCGGCCACAUUGGGACUGAGACACGGCCCAAACUCCUACGGGAGGCAGCAGUAGGGAAUCUUCCACAAUGGACGAAAGUCUGAUGGAGCAACGCCGCGUGAGUGAAGAAGGUUUUCGGAUCGUAAAACUCUGUUGUCAGAGAAGAACGUGUGCGAGAGUAACUGCUCGUGCAGUGACGGUAUCUGGCCAGAAAGCCACGGCUAACUACGUGCCAGCAGCCGCGGUAA
rnacentral:rRNA from 1 species